AACAAUACCCCACAAAUCCAUCUAACUCAUUUGGCAAAGAUAUCAUUGGUGCUGAAGUCAAUCAAUCUUUCAACUCUUGAAAGUUCUUUUAACAUUUAUCUGAACAUAUAAACUUUCCUUUUUUUGUGUCAACUUAGCUAAUAGUGCAGCUAUUAAGGAAUAAUCCUCAAUAAAUCUCCUAUAGUAACUAGGUAAUCCCAAAAAGCUCCUAAUAUCAUAUAGAGUAGUGGAC
rnacentral:lncRNA from 1 species